ACUGAAAUACCUGCUCCCAUAUGAUCACCAAAGUUAAGCAAUGUUGAGCCAGGACAGUACCUAGAUGGGUGACAACUUUGGAAUACCAGCUGCUGUAAG